UACGGAGGGAGCUAGCGUUGUUCGGAUAUACUGGGCGUAGAGCGCACGUAGGCGGCGCCGUAAGUCAGGGGUGAAAUCCCGGAGCUCAACUCCGGAACUGCCCUUGAAACUGCAGUGCUAGAAUCCUGGAGAGGCGAGUGGAAUUCCGAGUGUAGAGGUGAAAUUCGUAGAUAUUCGGAAGAACACCAGUGGCGAAGGCGGCUCACUGGCCCGAUACUGACGCUGAGGUGCGAAAGCGUGGGGAGCAAACAGG
rnacentral:rRNA from 1 species